CUUCAACUUGGUCCUGUAGAGGAGAGCCGGGUCCUCCCGGAUGCUGCUGCUGAUGUGCUGCUGCACCUGGAGGCAAAGUUGCUGGAGGUGGCCCUGGGGGUGUGCAAGAGGAAGGAAAGAAGGGCAGAGAUGCACAAGAUGGAAAAGGGAGCAGAACAGACACGUUUGCCGAUGUGCAAGGGGUUUUUCUCCUGGACCCGGCCCAAGAGAAAGGGCGCACAGACGGAGACGGAAGGCAGAUAGACAGAAGCUCAUCGCAUCAGGAGGCUCUUGACUAAGCCUGCAAUCACCCCGGAGCGGUUUUGAAAAGCUUUCGACCCCAGACGCGCCUUUAAAAAAAAAAGAAAGAAAGAACUUAGCUGAGCGGAAGCAGCUCCCAAGGCUGGGCGAUGGGAUGAUGCUAAAGUUGCUUUUUGUGUAAAGCUUUCAGAGGGAAGACAAUAAUUAAAAUGAAGAUAUGGAGCUCAAAGUUUAUAUCAGGCUGAGAUCAGAAGCGAGCCAGGCAGCCAACUCUUAUCAUCUCCCUCUGAAACGGGACGCUCGUCCUUCGAGAUAAAGAGCCACACUUUUUAAUUAAAAUAAUUGUUCCUUCUCAUUUCAAAACAGCGGGGAAAACCAGCCCUAUCGGAGGACUGCAGGUAAAGAGUUGAAAUCCUGCACCACCCCAUUAAUUUUGAGCCACCCCACAAAAACGGCAGAACUAAGCCGGGAAUUGGGUUGG